rnacentral:lncRNA from 1 species
CAGCCAUGAGGUAGCUAGCCGCCUGCCCCAAGCGGCUAGCCGCUUUGUCACGGGUUGGAGUAAUUGUUUUUGCUUCUUCUUCUUCCUUCGUUAUUUUUCUGCACUUGUUCCUCUCUCUCUCAAAACCGUGAGCCACCCUCUUCCAUUUCCAAUCAAUUUCUCUUUAUUUCUCAACCAUUUUUAUGCCAAAAUUAAUCAUUCAAACC